rnacentral:lncRNA from 10 species
AUGGAGGACAGAGGUCACAACAGCAACUGGCGGAGCAGUGGAAAGACAACUGUGCACAAGGAUGAGGAGAAUAUUUCUGAUUGUGGGACAGGACCCUGGAAGGGAGGUAUAGCAGACUGGUCUUGGAAAGCCUGCAGCUGCAUCAGGAAGGCAAAGCAUGCUUGGAGAAAAAUGCUGACUGAAGUCAGGCAGAAGCUGGAGGGAUUUGCAGGGAAGGCUGCAAAAACCAGGGUGAGAGAUGCUGAGUCUUCUGAGUUUCAUAACCAUUGGAAUGGCAUGAGUCAAUCAACUAUUGCUGAGCUCCUCUGA